GUUCGUCGGGUCGGAUCGGGUGUUGUUAUCAAUUCAGUUGCUUGCUGGCUGCAUGGCGCGACGCUUGCUUGCACGUCUGGCCGGGGUCUGGGUCUGGGUCUGGCCCGGGUCUGGUCGGAUUGACUCGUGGUCGUGCGCCACGGGGGGAGGGGAUUGUAAUCGGUUUCAGUUCGUUUUCAUUUAAAUAGAAUUAAAUAUGGCAAAUGAGUGAGUGAGAGAGAGACGACGGUCAACAUAUGUUGUUGUCGUCGUCGUGGUCGUCGUCUCCGUGGUGAGGUUUUUGUGGUGAAGGCAACAAGGAAUUUGUAAUCUAUAUAAUAAAUAAAUAAUUUCAAAUGUACACACGAGCGAGACAGAGCGAUGGGUAGAGAAAGAGAGAGAGAGAGAGAGAGAUCAGUGGCAGAGCUGAGCAGUUAUGGAUGGACUUGGGACGACUGUCUGUCGUAAGUAACAAAAUCUCGUCGAAAUCGAGAUUCGAUAUUCGAGGGAAAGAACAGGCGCACAGCAAUUGCCAGCAGAGCAGUCGGCAGAAACAGCAAGCAGCAGCAGCUCGGGAGAGAGUGGACAAGCGCGAGUGAGAGAGAACGAGAGCCAAACGAAUCAGAGAGGGUGGCAGAAUAUACAUAUGAAAGUAGGCAAUGCAAAACAACACAGCAAAGAGAGCAAGCAGAAUGAGAGAGUGGCUGGUCCACUCGGCGAGCGCGAGAGAGCACCAGCACCAGCUGAAGAAAAAAAAAAAAUCGAUGAGUCGCCUGAUAAGCAGCAAAUCAACGGAACCACGGCACCAGACCUGGGGACACCCGAACCGAGCGAAGCGACCAGAUACGAUACGAUACGAUAGCCAGCCAAACAACCACCACCCAAUUGGGGAAAAAUAGGAAACAGAAUGCCGCGACAGCGUCUAACCGAUGCGUGUGCCGUCGUCUGCGCUUGGUGUGCGGUGCAUCCGUGUACCUGACGCGCGCGUGUAACCGCCAAUUUAACAGGGAAACAGGCGGAGCAGCAAGAGAGUCGAGUCUCGCCGCAAAGCGUCGUGUCGGCAGAGAGGAGAGCCGAGCCGACAUGUAUGUGGGCCACCGAGCGAGCGACAAAACGAGAGAUAGAGAGAGAGAGGAAUUGAUUGUAGGGUUGUCAAGAGUUCUAAUAAUACAAACAAAUUAAUUGGUAUACGUUUAUAGAAUUAUCCUAAGCAGAAAAAUAAAUAUUUUUUGCCAUCUU